rnacentral:tRNA from 1 species
GCGUUGGUGGUUUAGUGGUAAAAUCCGUCGUUGCCAUCUCUGCCUCAAGAGGACGAUUCGACGGGCCCCGGGUUCGAUUCCCGGCCGACGCA